UUCACAAAAACACCGUGGAUGCUGAAGU
rnacentral:piRNA from 1 species